CGGCGUGCCUAAUACAUGCAAGUAGAACGCUGAAGAGAGGAGCUUGCUCUUCUUGGAUGAGUUGCGAACGGGUGAGUAACGCGUAGGUAACCUGCCUGGUAGCGGGGGAUAACUAUUGGAAACGAUAGCUAAUACCGCAUAAAAUUGAUUAUUGCAUGAUAAUUAAUUGAAAGAUGCAAUUGCAUCACUACCAGAUGGACCUGCGUUGUAUUAGCUAGUUGGUGAGGUAACGGCUCACCAAGGCGACGAUACAUAGCCGACCUGAGAGGGUGAUCGGCCACACUGGGACUGAGACACGGCCCAGACUCCUACGGGAGGCAGCAGUAGGGAAUCUUCGGCAAUGGGGGGAACCCUGACCGAGCAACGCCGCGUGAGUGAAGAAGGUUUUCGGAUCGUAAAGCUCUGUUGUAAGAGAAGAACGGGUGUGAGAGUGGAAAGUUCACACUGUGACGGUAUCUUACCAGAAAGGGACGGCUAACUACGUGCCAGCAGCCGCGGUAAUACGUAGGUCCCGAGCGUUGUCCGGAUUUAUUGGGCGUAAAGCGAGCGCAGGCGGUUAGAUAAGUCUGAAGUUAAAGGCUGUGGCUUAACCAUAGUAUGCUUUGGAAACUGUUUAACUUGAGUGCAGAAGGGGAGAGUGGAAUUCCAUGUGUAGCGGUGAAAUGCGUAGAUAUAUGGAGGAACACCGGUGGCGAAAGCGGCUCUCUGGUCUGUAACUGACGCUGAGGCUCGAAAGCGUGGGGAGCAAACAGGAUUAGAUACCCUGGUAGUCCACGCCGUAAACGAUGAGUGCUAGGUGUUAGGCCCUUUCCGGGGCUUAGUGCCGCAGCUAACGCAUUAAGCACUCCGCCUGGGGAGUACGACCGCAAGGUUGAAACUCAAAGGAAUUGACGGGGGCCCGCACAAGCGGUGGAGCAUGUGGUUUAAUUCGAAGCAACGCGAAGAACCUUACCAGGUCUUGACAUCCCUCUGACCGCUCUAGAGAUAGAGUUUUCCUUCGGGACAGAGGUGACAGGUGGUGCAUGGUUGUCGUCAGCUCGUGUCGUGAGAUGUUGGGUUAAGUCCCGCAACGAGCACAACCCCUAUUGUUAGUUGCCAUCAUUCAGUUGGGCACUCUAGCGAGACUGCCGGUAAUAAACCGGAGGAAGGUGGGGAUGACGUCAAAUCAUCAUGCCCCUUAUGACCUGGGCUACACACGUGCUACAAUGGCUGGUACAACGAGUCGCAAGCCGGUGACGGCAAGCUAAUCUCUGAAAGCCAGUCUCAGUUCGGAUUGUAGGCUGCAACUCGCCUACAUGAAGUCGGAAUCGCUAGUAAUCGCGGAUCAGCACGCCGCGGUGAAUACGUUCCCGGGCCUUGUACACACCGCCCGUCACACCACGAGAGUUUGUAACACCCGAAGUCGGUGAGGUAACCGCAAGGAGCCAGCCGCCUAAGGUGGGAUAGAUGAUUG
rnacentral:rRNA from 1 species